rnacentral:rRNA from 1 species
GAUGAACGCUGGCGGCGUGCCUAACACAUGCAAGUCGAGCGAUUCUCUUCGGAGAAGAGCGGCGGACGGGUGAGUAACGCGUGGGUAACCUGCCUCAUACACAUGGAUAACAUACCGAAAGGUAUGCUAAUACAGGAUAACAUAAGAGAUUCGCAUGUUUCUCUUAUCAAAGCUCCGGCGGUAUGAGAUGGACCCGCGUCUGAUUAGCUAGUUGGUAAGGUAAUGGCUUACCAAGGCGACGAUCAGUAGCCGACCUGAGAGGGUGAUCGGCCACAUUGGAACUGAGACACGGUCCAAACUCCUACGGGAGGCAGCAGUGGGGAAUAUUGCACAAUGGGCGAAAGCCUGAUGCAGCAACGCCGCGUGAGUGAUGAAGGCCUUCGGGUCGUAAAACUCUGUCCUCAAGGAAGAUAAUGACGGUACYGAGAGAGACCCYGAUAAUUCCC